rnacentral:rRNA from 1 species
UAGGGAAUCUUCCACAAUGGACGCAAGUCUGAUGGAGCAACGCCGCGUGAGUGAAGAAGGUCUUCGGAUCGUAAAGCUCUGUUGUUGGUGAAGAAGGAUAGAGGCAGUAACUGGUCUUUAUUUGACGGUAAUCAACCAGAAAGUCACGGCUAACUACGUGCCAGCAGCCGCGGUAAUACGUAGGUGGCAAGCGUUGUCCGGAUUUAUUGGGCGUAAAGCGAGCGCAGGCGGAAUGAUAAGUCUGAUGUGAAAGCCCACGGCUCAACCGUGGAACUGCAUCGGAAACUGUCAUUCUUGAGUGCAGAAGAGGAGAGUGGAACUCCAUGUGUAGCGGUGGAAUGCGUAGAUAUAUGGAAGAACACCAGUGGCGAAGGCGGCUCUCUGGUCUGCAACUGACGCUGAGGCUCGAAAGCAUGGGUAGCGAACAGGAUUAGAUACCCUGGUAGU